rnacentral:rRNA from 1 species
GUCUAUAGCCUUGCCACCCUGAACAUGCCGAUCUCAUCUGAUCUCAGAAGCUAAACGGGGUCAGGCCUGGUUAGUACUUGGAUGGGAGACCACCUAGGAAUACUAGGUGCUGCAGGCA